rnacentral:rRNA from 1 species
CAGUAGCCGCGGUAAUACGUAGGGUGCAAGCGUUAAUCGGAAUUACUGGGCGUAAAGGGCUCGCAGGCGGUUUCUUAAGUCUGAUGUGAAAGCCCCGGCUCAACCGGGGAGGGUCAUUGGAAACUGGGAAACUUGAGUGCAGAAGAGGAGAGUGGAAUUCCACGUGUAGCGGUGAAAUGCGUAGAGAUGUGGAGGAACACCAGUGGCGAAGGCGACUCUCUGGUCUGUAACUGACGCUGAGGAGCGAAAGCGUGGGGAGCGAACAGGAUUAGAUACCCCUGUAGUCCCUGUCUCUUAUACA